rnacentral:lncRNA from 10 species
UUAAGGUAUGAGACCAUCUUUAUAAAGCUCAAAAGCAAGCAAAACUGAUAAAGCUUUGUGGUAAAGCUAACAAAGCAAAGAAAGGGGAUGAUAAACACAAAACAGGAUUGUAGAUUUCCACAUGGGGAUAGGAUGGGGGAUGCAAGAGGCACUUUCCACCCAGAUGGAUCCAGUAGAACUGGUCAUUUUAGUCAAUCAGUUAGGCACUUAAUGUAGUUUGGAUAUUUGAUCCUCCAAACAUCGUGUUGAAAUCUCUCCCCAUGUUGGAGGUGGGACCUAUUGGGAGGUGUUUGGGGCAUGGGAGUUGAUUGCUCAUGAAUGACUUGUUGCCAUUCUCAAAGAAGUGAGUUCUCAUUUUGGGCUGGGUGCAGUGGAUCAUGCCUGUAAUCCCAGCACUUUGGCAGGCAGAGGCGGGAGGAUCACAUGAGACCAGGAGUUCCAGACCAGCCUGGCCAACAUGAAGAACCUCUGCCUCCACUAAAAAUACAAAAAUUAGCAGGGCGUGGUGGUAGGCGCCUAUAGUCCCAGCUACUCAGGAGACUGAGGCACAAGAAUCACUUGAACCUGGGAGGUGGAGGCUGCAGUGAGCCAAGAUCAUGCCACUGCCCUCCAGCCUGGGCAACAAAGGGAUAUCCUGUCUCAAAAAAAAAAAAGUUCUCAUUCUUAGUCCCAGGAGAACUAGUUGCUGAAAAGAGCCUGGCAUCUCCUCCUCUCUCUCUCGCUUCCUCUCUCACCACGUCAUCUGUGCACAGUCCCUCCACUUCCCCUUCUGCCCUAAGUGGAAACAGCUUGAGGCCCCACCAGAAGCAGAUGCAGUGUCAGGCUUCUUGUACAGACUGCAGAACCAUACACCAAAUAAACUGCUUUUUAAAAUAAAGUGCCCAGUCUCAAGUAUUCCUUUAUAGCAACACAAAUGGACUAAGACAGCAAUGAUUUUAUGGGUCUUCAUUUUGUUGAUAUGUUUGAUAACUUACAUGUUAUAUAUAUAUAUUAUUUCUGUGUUUCAAAUAUUGCAUUAAAAAAUUUAAAAAUAGGCCAGGCAUGGUGGCUCACGCCUGUAAUCCCAGUACUUUGGGAGGCCAAGGCAGGUAGAUGGCAUGAGGUCAGGAGUUCAAGACCAGGCUGGCCAACAUGGCGAAACUCCGUCUUUACUAAAAAUACAAAAAAAAAAAAAAAAAAUUAGCCAGGUGUGAUGGCCGGUGCCCGUAAUCCCAGCUCCUCAGGAGGCUGAGGCAGGAGAAUGGCCUGAACCCAGGCAGCAGAGGUUGCAGUGAGCCGAGAUCAUGCCAGGGCACUCCAGCCUGGGCAACAGAGUGAGACUCUGCCUCAGAAAAAAAUUAAAAAUAAAAUUAAAUGCAGAAAACAAUAGGAGGGUAAGUUUCCUGAGCAAAACCAGAGCUUUUCUGUAUCCCAUCUACUGUACACACAGUGGGCCCUCAACAAAUAUCUGCUUACAUUACAGCCAGGGAAUUUGUUUACUUUAGUGCAUUACAAAAGAAUGAGAAAAGCCGAGUCUUCUCAAAAGCAAACGUCAAUGCGGCAGACAGAGGACUAAAUUACAUGAUAACACAGCAUAUAAUAUAGUAUAAUGGGCAUGAUACAGGUAAUAAUAACAGAAAAACAAAUCUGUUUUUCAGCCAUGAAUUACACUGUGUCUGUGGCUUUGGGCAAGAAGCAUGCCUGUAGUUACCCUGGGCUGCAAGUUGUUAAAUCAUGAUGGAUGAUCCCAUAAGGAACCAAACAAGAUCAGUGGAAUUCAUUCAUUUGCCGGGUGCCCUGGGAAUUCUUUCAUUUCCCCCCAGACCUGACUGCCUCCUCCUAUUACUGGGGCAGCAGUUGGGCUAUACCACACAGACUAGCCAUGAAGCGGGAGAGAGG